AAGCGUCCAUAGCGACGGCGGAGUUCGGCACCUCGAUGUCGGCUCACCUUAGCGCGGGGCUGGAGAAGGUCCCAAGCGUUUGGCUGUUCGCCAAUUAAAAAGGUACGCGAGCUGGGUUCAAACCGUUCAGCAACUGAACAUAAACAAUCCCAUCUAGGGACUUACGAUGUCCCUAGAUGGGUGAAGGUUCGGUGAUUGAACGGUUUGAACCCACGAGGCAAUUGUUAGGUACGUGGAGACGUACUGUGCGAAAGACAUACUCACGGCGGUCUCGCACAGGAAUGUGCGAGGAGCAAAUCGACUUAUAUCGGUGGAACCCGAGCUUGUUGUGUACAAGUGGGCAAUACCGAGGGAACCCUGUAGUGAAUUUUGGCAACCAAAAUCUACUACAGGGGCCCGUAGAGACUGAAUGUCGAUCACCGAGAACCGGUGAAGUUACAGUCCAAUCCCCGUAGUAAUACGGGACGUAGAUGCGUGAGACAGGUUGGUCUCCUAUCUACUACAGGCGUUGAUUCUUGAGGAGGGUCGUCCCUAGUACGAGAGGACCGGGAUGAACUGACCACUGGUCUACCAGCUGUUCUGCCAAGAGCACUGCUGGGUAGCUAUGUCGGGUUGCGAUAACCGCUGAAAGCAUAUAAGCGGGAAGCGUGCUCCAAGAUUAGGAAUCGUUAUGAGACUCGUAAGAGAUGAUUACGUUGAUAGGCACUAGGUGGAAACGCCGUGAGGUGUGGAGCCGAGGUGUACUAAUAAGUUCA
rnacentral:rRNA from 1 species